GUGGGGAAUUUUGGACAAUGGGCGCAAGCCUGAUCCAGCAAUGCCGCGUGCAGGAAGAAGGCCUUCGGGUUGUAAACUGCUUUUGUACGGAACGAAACGGCUCUGGUUAAUACCCGGGGCUAAUGACGGUACCGUAAGAAUAAGCACCGGCUAACUACGUGCCAGCAGCCGUGGUAAUACGUAGGGUGCAAGCGUUAAUCGGAAUUACUGGGCGUAAAGCGUGCGCAGGCGGUUUUGUAAGACAGGCGUGAAAUCCCCGGGCUCAACCUGGGAAUGGCGCUUGUGACUGCAAAGCUGGAGUGCGGCAGAGGGGGAUGGAAUUCCGCGUGUAGCAGUGAAAUGCGUAGAUAUGCGGAGGAACACCGAUGGCGAAGGCAAUCCCCUGGGCCUGCACUGACGCUCAUGCACGAAAGCGUGGGGAGCAAACAGGAUUAGAUACCCCAGUAGUCC
rnacentral:rRNA from 1 species